rnacentral:rRNA from 1 species
AUACCAGCUCUCCGAGUGGUGUGGAUGUUUAUUGGGCCUAAAGCAUCCGUAGCUGGCCAAGUUAGUCCCCUGUUAAAUCCACCGAUUCAAUCGUUGGAGUGCGGGGGAUACUGCUCGGCUAGGGGACGGGAGAGGCCGACGGUAUUUUCGGGGUAGGGGUGAAAUCCUAUAAUCCCGGGAAGACCACUAGUGGCGAAGGCUGUCGGCUAGAACGCGCCCGACGGUGAGGGAUGAAAGCUGGGGUAGCGAACCGGAUUAGAUACCCGGGUAGUCCCAGCUGUAAACGAUGCAGGCUAGGUGUUUGGGCGGCCACGUGCCGCUCUAGUGCCGCAGGGAAGUCGUUAAGCCUGCCGCCUGGGGAGUACGGUCGCAAGGCUGAA